rnacentral:rRNA from 1 species
CAAUAGCAUAUAUUAACGUUGUUGCAGUUGAAAAGCUCGUAGUUGAACUUUUGGUAGGAGCGACCUGGCCUUGGGCGCAUGCCCUUGCUUUGCCGUGUGUCGUAUCUGGCCAUCCUUUUCUUCUUCGGAAGGAAUCCUUUACUGUGAGUAAACUGGAGUGCUCAAAACAAGACGUUUGUUUGGUACAUUAAAGCAUGGAAUAAUAAGAUAGGACCUGGUUACUAUUUUGUUGGUUUGCAUAGCUAGGUAAUGAUUAACAGGGACAGUUGGGGGUAUUCGUAUUUAAUUGUCAGAGGUGAAAUUCUUGGAUUUAUGAAAGACGAACGACUGCGAAAGCAUUUACCAAGGAUGUUUNCAUUAA